rnacentral:rRNA from 1 species
UACGGGGGGGGCAAGCGUUGUUCGGAAUUACUGGGCGUAAAGGGUGCGUAGGUGGCGCGCUAAGUCGGGUGUGAAAUCUCGGAGCUUAACUCCGAAAUUGCAUUCGAUACUGGCGUGCUUGAGGACUGGAGAGGAGACUGGAAUUCAUGGUGUAGCAGUGAAAUGCGUAGAGAUCAUGAGGAAGACCAGUGGCGAAGGCGGGUCUCUGGACAGUUCCUGACACUGAGGCACGAAGGCCAGGGGAGCAAACGGG